rnacentral:rRNA from 1 species
GACGAACGCUGGCGGCGUGCCUAAUACAUGCAAGUAGAACGCACAGUUUAUACCGUAGCUUGCUACACCAUAGACUGUGAGUUGCGAACGGGUGAGUAACGCGUAGGUAACCUGCCUGGUAGCGGGGGAUAACUAUUGGAAACGAUAGCUAAUACCGCAUAAUAUUAAUUAUUGCAUGAUAAUUAAUUGAAAGGUGCAAUUGCACCACUACCAGAUGGACCUGCGUUGUAUUAGCUAGUAGGUGAGGUAACGGCUCACCUAGGCGACGAUACAUAGCCGACCUGAGAGGGUGAUCGGCCACACUGGGACUGAGACACGGGCCAGACUCCUACGGGAGGCAGCAGUAGGGAAUCUUCGGCAAUGGACGAAAGUCUGACCGAACAACGCCGCGUGAGUGAAGAAGGUUUUCGGAUCGUAAAGGUCUGUUGUAAGAGAAGAACGGGUGUGAGAGUGGAAAGUUCACACUGUGACGGUAUCUUACCAGAAAGGGACGGCUAACUACGUG